GAUGAACGCUGGCGGCGUGCCUAAUACAUGCAAGUCGAGCGAACGGACGAGAAGCUUGCUUCUCUGUUGUUAGCGGCGGACGGGUGUGUAACACGUGUAUAACCUCCCUAUAAUACUGGGAUAACUUCGGGAAACCGGCUCUAAUACCGUAUAAUAUUUUGAUCCGCAUGGUUCAAAAGUGAAUGACGGUCUUGCUGUCUCUUCUAGAUGGAUCCGCGCUGCAUUAGCUAGUUGUUAAGGUAACGGCUUACCAAGGCAACGAUGCAUAGCCGAGCUGAGAGAGUGAUAGGCGGCACUGGAACUGAGACACGGACCAGACGACUAAGGGAGGCAGCAGUAGGGAAUCUGACGCAAUGGGCGAAAGCAUGACGGAGCGACGCCGCGUGAGUGAUGAAGAUCUUCGGAGCGUAAAAAUCGGUUAUUAGGGAAGAACAGAUGUGUAAGGAACUGUGCACAUAGUGACGGUAAUUAAUCAGAAAGCAACGGCUAACUACGUG
rnacentral:rRNA from 1 species